rnacentral:ncRNA from 12 species
GCAGGUUGAGGAUAGAACGGGCAGCUAUCACCCCUGCCAAGAGUUGAUCGUACUGUAGAGUUCUAUGAGAACUACAGUCCAGGGCUUGGAAAGAGAUGCGGGGGUGCCGACCCGCCAACCUGC